rnacentral:rRNA from 1 species
AGUGAACGCUGGCGGCAGGCCUAACACAUGCAAGUCGAACGGCAGCACAAGAGAGCUUGCUCUCUGGGUGGCGAGUGGCGGACGGGUGAGGAAUGCAUCGGAAUCUGCCCAUUUGUGGGGGAUAACCUCGGGAAACCGGGACUAAUACCGCAUACGACCUACGGGUGAAAGCAGGGGAUCUUCGGACCUUGCGCAGAUGGAUGAGCCGAUGCCGGAUUAGCUAGUUGGAGGGGUAAAGGCCCACCAAGGCGACGAUCCGUAGCUAGUCUGAGAGGAUGAUCAGCCACACUGGGACUGAGACACGGCCCAGACUCCUACGGGAGGCAGCAGUGGGGAAUAUUGGACAAUGGGCGCAAGCCUGAUCCAGCCAUGCCGCGUGUGUGAAGAAGGCCUUCGGGUUGUAAAGCACUUUUGUUGGGAAAGAAAAGCAGCCGGUUAAUACCCGGUUGUCAUGACGGUACCCAAAGAAUAAGCACCGGCUAACUUCGUG